rfam:Amphimedon queenslandica AMPQTscaffold_13475_Cont1745, whole genome shotgun sequence.
UAACUGGCUUUAUUCAAAGCCACCAUAUCACGAAAGAUCUCUGAUU